rnacentral:hammerhead_ribozyme from 1 species
AUCUAGUCGACGAGUCUCAAACAGGACGAAAUUCAAAUCCUGAAU